GCAUAUCAAUAAGCGGAGGAAAAGAAACCAACAGGGAUUGCCCCAGUAACGGCGAGUGAAGCGGCAAGAGCUCAAAUUUGAAAGCUGGCCCCCUCGGGGUCCGCAUUGUAAUUUGCAGAGGAUGCUUCGGGAGCGGUCCCCAUCUAAGUACCCUGGAACGGGUCGUCAUAGAGGGUGAGAAUCCCGUAUGGGAUGGGGUGUCCGCGCCCGUGUGAAGCUCCUUCGACGAGUCGAGUUGUUUGGGAAUGCAGCUCUAAAUGGGUGGUAAAUUUCAUCUAAAGCUAAAUAUUGGCCGGAGACCGAUAGCGCACAAGUAGAGUGAUCGAAAGAUGAAAAGCACUUUGAAAAGAGAGUUAAAAAGCACGUGAAAUUGUUGAAAGGGAAGCGCUUGCGACCAGACUCGCCCACGGGGUUCAGCCGGCAUUCGUGCCGGUGUACUUCCCCGCGGGCGGGCCAGCGUCGGUUUGGGCGGCCGGUCAAAGGCCCUCGGAAUGUAACGCCCCUCGGGGCGUCUUAUAGCCGAGGGUGCCAUGCGGCCUGCCCGGACCGAGGAACGCGCUUCGGCUCGGACGCUGGCAUAAUGGUCGUAAGCGACCCGUCUUGAAACACGGACCAAGGAGUCUAACAUCUACGCGAGUGUUCGGGUGUCAAACCCGUGCGCGCAGUGAAAGCGAACGGAGGUGGGAACCCUCACGGGUGCACCAUCGACCGAUCCUGAUGUCUUCGGAUGGAUUUGAGUAAGAGCGUAGCUGUUGGGACCCGAAAGAUGGUGAACUAUGCCUGAAUAGGGCGAAGCCAGAGGAAACUCUGGUGGAGGCUCGCAGCGGUUCUGACGUGCAAAUCGAUCGUCAAAUUUGGGGUAUAGGGGCGAAAGACUAAUCGAACCAUCUAGUAGCUGGUUCCUGCCGA
rnacentral:rRNA from 1 species